rnacentral:rRNA from 1 species
CGUGCUUAACACUUGCAAGUCGAACGAUGAAGCCCAGCUGCUGGGUGGAUUAGUGGCGAACGGGUGAGUAACACGUGAGUACCUGCCCCUGACUCUGGGAUAGCGUUGGAAACGACGUCUAAUACUGGAUAUGACUACUGGUCGCAUGGCUGGUGGUGGAAAGAUUUUUUGGUUGGGGAUGGACUCGCGGCCUAUCAGCUUGUUGGUGAGGUAAUGGCUCACCAAGGCGACGACGGGUAGCCGGCCUGAGAGGGUGACCGGCCACACUGGGACUGAGACACGGCCCAGACUCCUACGGGAGGCAGCAGUGGGGAAUAUUGCACAAUGGGCGAAAGCCUGAUGCAGCAACGCCGCGUGAGGGAUGACGGCCUUCGGGUUGUAAACCUCUUUUAGUAGGGAAGAAGCGAAAGUGACGGUACCUGCAGAAAAAGCACCGGCUAACUACGUGCCAGCAGCCGCGGUAAUACGUAGGGUGCAAGCGUUGUCCGGAAUUAUUGGGCGUAAAGAGCUCGUAGGCGGUUUGUCGCGUCUGCUGUGAAAUCCCGAGGCUCAACCUCGGGCUUGCAGUGGGUACGGGCAGACUAGAGUGCGGUAGGGGAGAUUGGAAUUCCUGGUGUAGCGGUGGAAUGCGCAGAUAUCAGGAGGAACACCGAUGGCGAAGGCAGAUCUCUGGGCCGUAACUGACGCUGAGGAGCGAAAGCGUGGGGAGCGAACAGGAUUAGAUACCCUGGUAGUCCACGCCGUAAACGUUGGGCGCUAGAUGUAGGGACCUUUCCACGGUUUCUGUGUCGUAGCUAACGCAUUAAGCGCCCCGCCUGGGGAGUACGGCCGCAAGGCUAAAACUCAAAGGAAUUGACGGGGGCCCGCACAAGCGGCGGAGCAUGCGGAUUAAUUCGAUGCAACGCGAAGAACCUUACCAAGGCUUGACAUACACCGGAAACGGCCAGAGAUGGUCGCCCCCUUGUGGUCGGUGUACAGGU